rnacentral:rRNA from 1 species
CGGGGCUUAAAGUCUUGUAAUUGGAAUGAUGGGAAUUUAAACCUCUUCCAGAGUAUCAAUUGGAGGGCAAGUCUGGUGCCAGCAGCCGCGGUAAUUCCAGCUCCAAUAGCGUAUAUUAAAAUUGUUGCAGUUAAAAAGCUCGUAGUUGAAUUUCUGCUGCAUUGCUUGUGUCCCUCUUGGGUCUCUGCAUGUGGCUUUUUUCGGACGGAGUUUCUUUGUCUGAAUGUUUACUUUGAGAAAAUUAGAGUGCUCAAAGCAGGCUUUCGCCUUGAAUAGUUUAGCAUGGAAUAAUAAAGUAGGACUUUGGUUCUAUUUUGUUGGUUUUAGGUACCAAAGUAAUGGUUAAUAGGAACAGUUGGGGGCAUUCGUAUUUAACUGUCAGAGGUGAAAUUCUUAGAUUUGUUAAAGACGAACUACUGCGAAAGCAUUUGCCAAGGAUGUUUUCAUUAAUCAAGAAC